rnacentral:rRNA from 3 species
AAAUUGAAGAGUUUGAUCAUGGCUCAGAUUGAACGCUGGCGGCAGGCCUAACACAUGCAAGUCGAACGGUAACAGGAAGCAGCUUGCUGCUUCGCUGACGAGUGGCGGACGGGUGAGUAAUGUCUGGGAAACUGCCUGAUGGAGGGGGAUAACUACUGGAAACGGUGGCUAAUACCGCAUAACGUCGCAAGACCAAAGAGGGGGACCUUCGGGCCUCUUGCCAUCAGAUGUGCCCAGAUGGGAUUAGCUAGUUGGUGAGGUAACGGCUCACCAAGGCGACGAUCCCUAGCUGGUCUGAGAGGAUGACCAGCCACACUGGAACUGAGACACGGUCCAGACUCCUACGGGAGGCAGCAGUGGGGAAUAUUGCACAAUGGGCGCAAGCCUGAUGCAGCCAUGCCGCGUGUAUGAAGAAGGCCUUCGGGUUGUAAAGUACUUUCAGCGGGGAGGAAGGUGUUGUGGUUAAUAACCACAGCAAUUGACGUUACCCGCAGAAGAAGCACCGGCUAACUCCGUGCCAGCAGCCGCGGUAAUACGGAGGGUGCAAGCGUUAAUCGGAAUUACUGGGCGUAAAGCGCACGCAGGCGGUCUGUCAAGUCGGAUGUGAAAUCCCCGGGCUCAACCUGGGAACUGCAUUCGAAACUGGCAGGCUUGAGUCUUGUAGAGGGGGGUAGAAUUCCAGGUGUAGCGGUGAAAUGCGUAGAGAUCUGGAGGAAUACCGGUGGCGAAGGCGGCCCCCUGGACAAAGACUGACGCUCAGGUGCGAAAGCGUGGGGAGCAAACAGGAUUAGAUACCCUGGUAGUCCACGCCGUAAACGAUGUCUACUUGGAGGUUGUGCCCUUGAGGCGUGGCUUCCGGAGCUAACGCGUUAAGUAGACCGCCUGGGGAGUACGGCCGCAAGGUUAAAACUCAAAUGAAUUGACGGGGGCCCGCACAAGCGGUGGAGCAUGUGGUUUAAUUCGAUGCAACGCGAAGAACCUUACCUGGUCUUGACAUCCACAGAACUUUCCAGAGAUGGAUUGGUGCCUUCGGGAACUGUGAGACAGGUGCUGCAUGGCUGUCGUCAGCUCGUGUUGUGAAAUGUUGGGUUAAGUCCCGCAACGAGCGCAACCCUUAUCCUUUGUUGCCAGCGGUCCGGCCGGGAACUCAAAGGAGACUGCCAGUGAUAAACUGGAGGAAGGUGGGGAUGACGUCAAGUCAUCAUGGCCCUUACGACCAGGGCUACACACGUGCUACAAUGGCGCAUACAAAGAGAAGCGACCUCGCGAGAGCAAGCGGACCUCAUAAAGUGCGUCGUAGUCCGGAUUGGAGUCUGCAACUCGACUCCAUGAAGUCGGAAUCGCUAGUAAUCGUGGAUCAGAAUGCCACGGUGAAUACGUUCCCGGGCCUUGUACACACCGCCCGUCACACCAUGGGAGUGGGUUGCAAAAGAAGUAGGUAGCUUAACCUUCGGGAGGGCGCUUACCACUUUGUGAUUCAUGACUGGGGUGAAGUCGUAACAAGGUAACCGUAGGGGAACCUGCGGUUGGAUCACCUCCUUA